rnacentral:rRNA from 1 species
AACGAACGCUGGCGGCAUGCCUAACACAUGCAAGUCGAACGAGACCUUCGGGUCUAGUGGCGCACGGGUGCGUAACGCGUGGGAACCUGCCCUUAGGUUCGGAAUAACUCCCCGAAAGGGGUGCUAAUACCGGAUAAUGUCUUCGGACCAAAGAUUUAUCGCCUUUGGAUGGGCCCGCGUUGGAUUAGCUAGUUGGUAGGGUAAAAGCCUACCAAGGCGACGAUCCAUAGCUGGUCUGAGAGGAUGAUCAGCCACACUGGGACUGAGACACGGCCCAGACUCCUACGGGAGGAAGCAGAGGGGAAUAUUGGACAAUGGGCGAAAGCCUGAUCCAGCAAUGCCGCGUGAGUGAUGAAGGCCUUAGGGUUGUAAAGCUCUUUUACCCGGGAUGAUAAUGACAGUACCGGGAGAAUAAGCGCCGGCUAACUCCGUG